rnacentral:rRNA from 1 species
UACGGGGGGGGGCAAGCGUUGUUCGGAAUUACUGGGCGUAAAGGGCUCGUAGGCGGCCAACUAAGUCGGAUGUGAAAUCCCCAGGCUCAACUUGGGAACUGCAUCCGAUACUGGAUGGCUUGAAUUCGGGAGAGGGAUGCAGAAUUCCAGGUGUAGUGGUGAAAUGCGUAGAUAUCUGGAGGAAUACCGGUGGCGAAGGCGGCAUCCUGGACCGACAUUGACGCUGAGGAGCGAAAGCUAGGGGAGCAAACGGGG